rnacentral:rRNA from 1 species
GAUGAAUCUGAAUAACUUUAUGCUGAUCGCAUGGUCUUGUACCGGCGACGCAUCUUUCAAAUGUCUGCCUUAUCAACUGUCGAUGGUAGGAUCUGCGCCUACCAUGGUUGUAACGGGUAACGGGGAAUCAGGGUUCGAUUCCGGAGAGGGAGCCUGAGAAACGGCUACCACAUCCAAGGAAGGCAGCAGGCGCGCAAAUUACCCACUCUCAGCACGAGGAGGUAGUGACGAAAAAUAACGAUACGGGACUCAUCCGAGGCCCCGUAAUCGGAAUGAGUACACUUUAAAUCCUUUAACAAGGACCAAUUGGAGGGCAAGUCUGGUGCCAGCAGCCGCGGUAAUUCCAGCUCCAAUAGCGUAU